CCUGCAUUGGAAAAGGCGGGAAUGAGAACUACUGUACACUGUUGGAGUUAAUAGCAAGAGAUAUUCUAUCAGAAUGCUCCCGGCGAAUUAUUACUAAUAGCAAUAAUAAUCUUUACCAAACCAAAUUUAUAGUCUUCAGUAUACAAUACUGUACUACUGCAACAUUUCCCACUUUGAAGAAUACUGUUUAUAUUGUACACAGUUGUGGUUAUUAACUCGCGGGAGGAGCAAUUAAUUCAAUGAGGCCAGGUGGUGUUUAUCAUUAAUAACUGGCAGGUGGAAUAAUCGCAUUAGUGACAUUGUUUGACCAGUACCUGUGGAGCAACAAAUUGGCAUCUUUGAGUCCUCAUUACCUGGCCUGGAUGGUAACUGGUCGGCAAACAACUGCGUCCCCGUCCUUCCAUCCAAGAAGGAGUCCACAAACUGGCAGUGGUCCUCGCCGUGACCCGUUUGAUCCCCGAUGUUGUAGAACUUCCCUGCAGGACACAGAAGAUGUCUUUUGGUGGCAGCGCGUUGGGUGGCGGCCGAAAGCAGGAACCUUGCCAGUCCGAUCAUCGGCUGGAAUGUCAUCUCUCGGGUUGGGAAGCUGGUGCUCAAGAUUCUCCACCGCCGUGUGCGUCUGGUUUGUCGUCGUCAGUAUGGACACUUCCUCUCCAUUGGGUCCUUUGGCGGUUGACACAACUUCAUACUCUGAUCAAGGCAAAACCUUUCCUACUGUUUAACAACGGGGCAGUGGUGGUAGUCUGCUGUCUGCGCUCCUGCUUAGGCUUGGACGUGACCAAGGGGAAAGGCUUCAAGAUGGACUCCUUGUCGCCUUGUUUGAGGUCCAUGGGUUUAUCUGAGGGGAAAAGGAGGAGGAGGUCAGUUUUUCACCCUCAUGUGACUCAUACACAGUUGUGAUCCAUCUGCGCCGCUGGCUGUCCUUGCAGGGUGCUAAAACAUUCCAUGUUG